AUAUAAAUGACUAGUUACAAAAAUAAUAUAUUUUCUUAAAAAUAACGUUAUAUUUUCCUAGAAAAUAUAAAUCGAGGUAAUAAAUUAAAUUAUGUCAAAUUGAUACAAAACCGGAAAAGGAACUAUGGGUUGCCAUAGGACCAGUUGUAUUGCUAGCUGUAAUGCUAGUGUUCUUGUGCGUUGCUAGCUUUGUGCGCACAUUAAAAUAUUGUUUAAAGUAAAAAUAAAUCAAUCAAUAGAUUCAAAAAGAUUUGCAGAAAAUCACAACUUUCAAUAGGUAUGCAGGGGUGUCGUUCACGUCGCUUCCCGAGUACUGGAGAAUCGAAGGCCCAGGCGAAUAAAUAACGAAUUCACUGCCAGCGCGACCGCCAGCUACGUGCUACGCUUAUGGCUGACUAUAUAUUUUUUUCCGACUUGUAGCGAAAAGCGCCUACGAACAAAGAACCCGCCUAGCGGGCCGCUGGCAGUGAACAUGUUAAGGCAGUCUUCACAUUGGAUGCGGAUCCGCACGCUGCAGCGAUAGGGCUAGUUGGGAUCUCGGAGGCAAGACAACAAACAAGUCUAGGAAGCAAGGAACGACUGCAGCACCCCACAGACUAAGCAAGUCUUCAAAGACCAUGAAUGUCUUAGGCCCUAGGAUCUACAAUGCCCUGCCUAAUGAUAUUAAAAUAUCAGAGAGUUGCAAUAUGUUUAAUAACAAACUAAAAAAAUGGCUUACUGAUAAGACCUUUUAUACUGUUAUGGAUUUCUUAGUGUUUGACAAAAAUAAUUAAUGUAUUACCAAAAUAACAAUGUAUUUGAUGACAUGAUAUUUCAUUUAUGACUUACAUAUUGGUUUAAAUUGUAAAUUUUAUUUUAUUAGACAUAACGAUUUUAUUGUACUUUUAAUUCUAAACAUAUAUAGAUAUAUUUUUUUUUACUACUUCCAAUGAUUUAAAUGUAUUUUCUGUUGUUGACAUGUAAUAUCUUAAGAAUAUUAUCAAUAAAUGAGUAUGAGUAUGAGUAUUACACCCGAUAACGUAUCGGACAAUGU